rnacentral:rRNA from 1 species
GAUGAACGCUGGCGGCGUGCCUAAUACAUGCAAGUCGAGCGAACAGACGAGGAGCUUGCUCCUCUGACGUUAGCGGCGGACGGGUGAGUAACACGUGGAUAACCUACCUAUAAGACUGGGAUAACUUCGGGAAACCGGAGCUAAUACCGGAUAAUAUAUUGAACCGCAUGGUUCAAUAGUGAAAGACGGUUUUGCUGUCACUUAUAGAUGGAUCCGCGCCGCAUUAGCUAGUUGGUAAGGUAACGGCUUACCAAGGCAACGAUGCGUAGCCGACCUGAGAGGGGGAUAGGCCACACGGGAACUGGGACACGGUCCAGACUCCUACGGGAGGCAGCAGUAGGGAAUCUUCCGCAAUGGGCGAAAGCCUGACGGAGCAACGCCGCGUGAGUGAUGAAGGUCUUCGGAUCGUAAAACUCUGUUAUUAGGGAAGAACAAAUGUGUAAGUAACUAUGCACGUCUUGACGGUACCUAAUCAGAAAGCCACGGCUAACUACGUG